rnacentral:rRNA from 1 species
GGGUUGUGAGGUUAAGCGACUAAGCGUACACGGUGGAUGCCCUGGCAGUCAGAGGCGAUGAAGGACGUGCUAAUCUGCGAUAAGCGUCGGUAAGGUGAUAUGAACCGUUAUAACCGGCGAUUUCCGAAUGGGGAAACCCAGUGUGUUUCGACACACUAUCAUUAACUGAAUCCAUAGGUUAAUGAGGCGAACCGGGGGAACUGAAACAUCUAAGUACCCCGAGGAAAAGAAAUCAACCGAGAUUCCCCCAGUAGCGGCGAGCGAACGGGGAGCAGCCCAGAGCCUGAAUCAGUGUGUGUGUUAGUGGAAGCGUCUGGAAAGGCGCGCGAUACAGGGUGACAGCCCCGUACACAAAAAUGCACAUGCUGUGAGCUCGAUGAGUAGGGCGGGACACGUGGUAUCCUGUCUGAAUAUGGGGGGACCAUCCUCCAAGGCUAAAUACUCCUGACUGACCGAUAGUGAACCAGUACCGUGAGGGAAAGGCGAAAAGAACCCCGGCGAGGGGAGUGAAAAAGAACCUGAAACCGUGUACGUACAAGCAGUGGGAGCACAGAGCAAUCUGUGUGACUGCGUACCUUUUGUAUAAUGGGUCAGCGACUUAUAUUCUGUAGCAAGGUUAACCGAAUAGGGGAGCCGAAGGGAAACCGAGUCUUAACUGGGCGUUAAGUUGCAGGGUAUAGACCCGAAACCCGGUGAUCUAGCCAUGGGCAGGUUGAAGGUUGGGUAACACUAACUGGAGGACCGAACCGACUAAUGUUGAAAAAUUAGCGGAUGACUUGUGGCUGGGGGUGAAAGGCCAAUCAAACCGGGAGAUAGCUGGUUCUCCCCGAAAGCUAUUUAGGUAGCGCCUCGUGAAUUCAUCUCCGGGGGUAGAGCACUGUUUCGGCAAGGGGGUCAUCCCGACUUACCAACCCGAUGCAAACUGCGAAUACCGGAGAAUGUUAUCACGGGAGACACACGGCGGGUGCUAACGUCCGUCGUGAAGAGGGAAACAACCCAGACCGCCAGCUAAGGUCCCAAAGUCAUGGUUAAGUGGGAAACGAUGUGGGAAGGCCCAGACAGCCAGGAUGUUGGCUUAGAAGCAGCCAUCAUUUAAAGAAAGCGUAAUAGCUCACUGGUCGAGUCGGCCUGCGCGGAAGA